AAUCUUCAACCUAUAAACCUUUGCGGGUUUGUAGGCUUGGACUUGGAGGCUUGUCGGCCUAACGGUCGGCUCCUCUUAAAUGCAUUAGCUUGAUUCCUUGCGGAUCGGCUCUCGGUGUGAUAAUUGUCUACGCCGCGACCGUGAAGCGUUUGGCGAGCUUCUAAUCGUCUCUUAUGAGACAACACAUUGAC
rnacentral:misc_RNA from 1 species